ensembl:lncRNA
CAAUAUUUCCAUGCUGGAGGAAACGGCCUAAAGAAAACGUACCUGGAGAAAAGUCCUGAGCUGAAAUCUCUGAAAUAUGCGCUUAGCCUUUACACCCAACCCACAGAUGCCUUGAUCAAAAAAUAUAUAUGCACCCAGAUGUCUCAAGGUAAGAAGUAAUUCUGUUGUUGGGAUAAAUCUUAGUGAUGAUGGAGGGUGUGUGUGUGUUGGGAGGGGGGUGUUUUUUACUGUGAAUAACCCAGAUGUGAGUUAUAAACAAGCAGGGGAAAGGAUAAGUGGCUUUAUUCUCAUAAUAUUGUUUGUAUUGAUCAUCACUGAGAUGGAGAUGAGAUCUAUUGGGUAUAGUAGUGCAAUAAAUGGUGCAAAUGCAUUGCUGUAAAAUCUAAAGAGAUGGGUGGGUUUAAUGGGACAGAACAUUGCUAAAUCGUGAACACAACAGGCGCUCCCUGUGGUUUCAAUUCUAAUUGUAGUGCAGCUGAAUAAUGAUGUUCAAUAUCGUAUUCCGGCUCUCAAGGCGGUGCUUCGAAAGAGAUACUGUUUACAAGAGGAUGUAUAGUGUGUAGUUCUGGAAACUUGCUCAGAUAUUGCAAAUAAGUCAUUUCAUGUGGAGUGAAUACAUGGCAUGGCAUGGCACAUUGCGAGACACUGUGGGACAGUCUGAGACAUUGUGGCACAAUGUGAGACAUUGUGAGAGAGUCUGAGACGUUGUGAGACACUGUGGGACAGUCUGAGACAUUGCGAGACACUCUGGGACAGUCUGAGACAUUGUGGCACAAUGUGAGACAUUGUGAGAGAGUGUGAGACAUUGUGAGACACUGUGGGAUAGUCUGAGACAUUGUGAGACACUGUGGGACAGUCUGAAACAUUGCGAGACACUGUGGGACAGUCUGAGGCAUUGUGAGAUACUCUGGGACAGUCUGAGACAUUGUGAGAGAGUGUGAGACAUUGUGAGACACUGUGGGACAGUCUGAGACAUUGUGAGACACUCUGGGACAGUCUGAGACAUUGUGAGACACUGUGGGACAGUCUGAGACAUUGUGAGACACUCUAGGACAGUCUGAGACAUUGUGAGAGAGUGUGAGACAUUGUGAGACACUGUGGGAUAGUCUGAGACAUUGUGAGACACUGUGGGACAGUCUGAAACAUUGCGAGACACUGUGGGACAGUCUGAGGCAUUGUGAGACACUGUGGGACAGUCUGAGACAUUCUGGGACAGUCUGAGACAUUAUGAGACACUCUGAGACAUUGUGAGACACUGUGGG